rnacentral:rRNA from 1 species
AAUGGGUCAGCGACUUAUAUUCUGUAGCAAGGUUAACCGAAUAGGGGAGCCGAAGGGAAACCGAGUCUUAACUGGGCGUUAAGUUGCAGGGUAUAGACCCGAAACCCGGUGAUCUAGCCAUGGGCAGGUUGAAGGUUGGGUAACACUAACUGGAGGACCGAACCGACUAAUGUUGAAAAAUUAGCGGAUGACUUGUGGCUGGGGGUGAAAGGCCAAUCAAACCGGGAGAUAGCUGGUUCUCCCCGAAAGCUAUUUAGGUAGCGCCUCGUGAAUUCAUCUCCGGGGGUAGAGCACUGUUUCGGCAAGGGGGUCAUCCCGACUUACCAACCCGAUGCAAACUGCGAAUACCGGAGAAUGUUAUCACGGGAGACACACGGCGGGUGCUAACGUCCGUCGUGAAGAGGGAAACAACCCAGACCGCCAGCUAAGGUCCCAAAGUCAUGGUUAAGUGGGAAACGAUGUGGGAAGGCCCAGACAGCCAGGAUGUUGGCUUAGAAGCAGCCAUCAUUUAAAGAAAGCGUAAUAGCUCACUGGUCGAGU